CCUUGCCUGCCUUUCAUCAGCACCACGCACCGGUCGACCCACGAAAGAAAAGCUGGCAUUAGCUGAAGGCAUUCAAUUAUUUGAAUGUCAAAGCCGCCUCACUGAAAAUUGAAAGUGGAAGCAGCAAAACACAACUCUAUAAAAUAUGCAGUGGAGGCUGUUCAACGACGACGAUUCUGAAAGUUAAAAAAUGAAAUGAAGCCAAUAAACAAAUAAAAUAGAUGGAUAGAUGGAUAGACAAAACAAAUUAUUAUUAUCUAAGAAUCUGAUCGGUUUUGAACGAGUUCAAAAUUAAUCACAUGCGCCCGAUAUACAAUUAUAUUAAACUGUAUUAUGUUAAGUCAUUUUCGGCAUUAAAAUUUGUUAGUGAAAUUGAAAUAAGAAACUAAGUAUGUAGUACAAUGUUGAUAAAAAUAUAUUUAUGAAAAUAAUAACAAACAUAAAAUAAAAUCAAGUAAGAAACCUACCAAGAAUAUACCGCAAAAAUGCCAAAGCGUACUGAUAUAUAGUACUACAUUCAAAAAAUACCAAAGAAUUCCAAAUAUACCGGGAUGUCAGCCAAAGCAUUAAAGAACCAAUUGACGUAGAAUACAAAAGUAAUUCUUAACAAUCGAUUUGUUUUCGAUUUGCAGGGACGGAAGUGGGCGUGCCAAAAAUUAAAAAAUUGUAACAUAAGUGCUGGUA